rnacentral:rRNA from 1 species
AGUGAACGCUAGCGGUAGGCCUAACACAUGCAAGUCGAACGGCAGCACAGGAGAGCUUGCUCUCUGGGUGGCGAGUGGCGGACGGGUGAGGAAUACAUCGGAAUCUACUUUUUCGUGGGGGAUAACGUAGGGAAACUUACGCUAAUACCGCAUACGACCUACGGGUGAAAGCAGGGGAUCUUCGGACCUUGCGCGAUUGAAUGAGCCGAUGUCGGAUUAGCUAGUUGGCGGGGUAAAGGCCCACCAAGGCGACGAUCCGUAGCUGGUCGGAGGGGAGGAUCAGCCACACUGGAACUGAGAAACGGUCCAGUCUCCUACGGGAGGCAGCAGUGGGGCAUAUUGGACAAUGGGCGCAAGCCUGAUCCAGCCAUACCGCGUGGGUGAAGAAGGCCUUCAGGUUGUAAAGCCCUUUUGUUGGGAAAGAAAUCCAGCUGGUUAAUACCCGGUUGGGAUGACGGUACCCAAAGAAUAAGCACCGGCUAACUUCGUGCCAGCCGCCGCAGUAA